GAGAGAGAGAGAGAGAUGACGACGGCGGCGCGGCCGACGUGGGCGCCGGCGAAGGGCGGGAACGAGCAGAGGGGAACGCGCAUCUUCGGGCCCUCCGGGAAGUACCCCUCCCGCGACCUCGCCGCCCACACUUCCCUCAAGCCCAGGUUCGCCGUUUUGCCGAUUUCAGUUUCCGGGAUCCCCGAUGGCGAGACACAGUCAGAUACUCAGUACGCGGUGCCGCUUUGCUCUCCGCCUUCAGGCGCUAGACAUGCACAUACACCUCACCAGUUAUCCAGCCUAAUUACAGACGAGUCCAUAUCACACCAUUGGGUCAUCGCUCAACACCCUACCACCAUAGCCGAUCCUAUUAUCCAAGAUAAUGUAGAAAAUGGGCCUCACCCUCCCCGAGGAAAGACAGGUGCCAAGUACAUUAUCAGGGAAGAUGGCCAGAGGCUGGAUCUUCGUUAUGUGAAGAAAAGUAGUGAUCAGCAUCUGGAGCUGGGUUACAAGGUGGAAAGGCACCUCAUUGAUGGAGAUUUUGUUCUUUUCAACCGGCAGCCCAGUCUUCACAAAGUGUCUAUCAUGGGGCAUCGCUUCAAAAUCAUGCCUUACUCAACUUUCCGCCUCAACUUGUCUGUCACAUCGCCAUACAAUGCAGAUUUUGAUGGGGAUGAAAUGAAUAUGCAUGUUCCCUAGUCAUUUAAAACCAGAGCUGAGGUUUUAGAGUUGAUGAUGGUGCCAAAGUGUAUUGUCUCACCUCAAGCGAAUAGACCUGUUAUGGGUAUUGUCCAAGACACACUUCUUGGCUGUCGAAAAAUUACCAAAAGGGAUACUCUCAUCGAAAAGGAUGUAUUCAUGAACAUCUUAAUGUGGUGGGAAGAUUUUGAUGGGAAGGUCCCUGCCCCUGCUAUUUUGAAACCAAGGCCAAUUUGGACUGGCAAACAAGUUUUCAACUUGAUUAUCCCCAAGCAAAUCAAUUUAAUUAGAUUUUCAGCCUGGCAUGACGCUGAUGCUGAAAAAGAACAUACAAUUGCCCACUAGACAUACUUUGUUAAUGGAGACAAGUUCAAAGGCAACUGGUGUGACAUAUACCAUCACUGGUGUUAUAGAGGAAGUUGCUGACACCAAGCUUAAAAUAACUCAGCUUCCUGUCCGCCGCUGGACUACAGAUUACAAAGAGUUUCUUGAAUCCAUGUGUCCUAUUCCUAUCAAGGAAAAGGAAAAGAGCAAGGACAAGAAAAGGGAAAAGAAGAAGGACAAGGACAAGGACAAGGAAAAGGAAAAGAGCAAGGAACCGCCAUUGUUAGAGGAAAUAAGGUCGCAGUGUGAUCACGCGGAUGUGGAAUUUGAGCUUAUACUGAGUGAGCAAAACAUGAAUAUAGCUAAGCAAGAAGGCCUUGAGAAGAAAUUCAAGCUGACUACCACAAUAGGAACAACAAACAUGCAUUUGUUUGAUUCAUAUGGUAAAACAAAAAAAUAUGACACCCCAGAGGAUGGUGAGUAUCCCUAACACGGGCCUGUAUUAUAGCAACAAAUCCUUUUACUUGUGGUUUUGGCACUGUCAUUAUGUUAACUUUUCAGUACUUCAAGAGUUCUUUGAUUUUAGUUAUAUCUUGUAAGCUAUAGAAAAUAGUAGUAUGAUCUGUUUGUCUGCAGAUGGUCACCAAAUGAUUGUUCCGUCUGUGCUGAUCCGCGAGAUCCUGAAGUUGAUGCAGGAAGAGUGGCCCUGUUAGGUGUUACUGGUAAUCCAAACUUGUAUUAGCAUUAAACUGAUGGAUAUAGUAGGUAUGAUGAGUGGGAUGUGAAAGGUGCAAUAAGGAGACAUCAAUAGAUUGAUUGUUUAUAUUAUAUAACCAUAACAUACUUUUAGUUUUGAAAUUAUGAUUUGAGCGUAUGAUUAAA